rnacentral:rRNA from 1 species
CCUACGGGUGGCAGCAGUGGGGAAUAUUGCACAAUGGGGGAAACCCUGAUGCAGCGACGCCGCGUGAGCGAUGACGUAUCUCGGUAUGUAAAGCUCUAUCAGCAGGGAAGCAAAUGACGGUACCUGACUAAGAAGCCCCGGCUAACUACGUGCCAGCAGCGGCGGUAAUAAGUAGGUGGCAAGCGUUAUCCGGAUUUACUGGGUGUAAAGGGAGCUUAGGCGGCGGUGUAAGCCAGAUGGGAAAGGCCGGGGCUCAACCCCGGGACGGCAUGUGAAACUGUGCUGCUAGAGUGACGGAGAGGCAGGCGGAAUGCGUAGUGUAGCGGUGAAAUGCGUAGAGAUCAGGAGGAACACCAGUGGCGAAGGCGGCCUUCUGGACGUUAACUGACGUUGAGGCUCGAAAGCGUGGGGAGCAAACAGGAUUAGAUACCCCUGUAGUC